UACGUAGGUGGCAAGCGUUACUCGGAAUCACUAGGCGUAAAGCGCAGGUAGGCGGUUUGGUAAGUCUGUUGUGAAAGCUCCCGGCUCAACUGGGAGAGGUCAACGGAAACUACCAGGCUGGAGUGUGGUAGAGGUAGCUGGAAUUCCCGGUGUAGCGGUGAAAUGCGUAGAUAUCGGGAGGAAUACCUAUGGCGCAAGCAGGCUACUGGACCAUCACUGACGCUGAUCUGCGAAAGCUAGGCGAGUAAACAGG
rnacentral:rRNA from 1 species